UACAGAGGUCUCGAGCGUUAGGCGGAAUCACUGGGCUUAAAGCGUGUGUAGGUGGAUCGUUAAGUACCUUGUGAAAUCCCUCGGCUUAACCGGGGAACUGCGUCUGAUACUGGAUGGCUUGAGUUUGGGAGAGGGAUGCGGAAUUCCAGGUGUAGCGGUGAAAUGCGUAGAUAUCAGGAGGAACACCGGUGGCGAAGGCGGGUCUCUGGGCCGAUACUGACGCUGAGGAGCGAAAGCGUGGGGAGCGAACAGG
rnacentral:rRNA from 1 species